UAUUUUUCUAGGGUUACUGAAGCUGCCUUUAUACAUGGCUGUGGAGUUGGUUGGACCUGCGCCCAAGUCUCCUCUUCAGCACAUUCUUGCAGCAGAAAAGGCACCAAGUAAGAGAGAGAAAGACAGAAAAAGACAGACAGAGAGAUGGAGGAAAAGGUACCAGUUUAGGAGAUCCCGCUGCCAGUGCUGAGGUAGAAAGGAAAAUGAACAUCUACAUGUCGCAGAACUUUCCAACAAAGGGCUUGUUUUCAUUUCUUUUCUCCACUCGCUUAAAAAGAAAACCGUCUCUCCUAAAUGGAAACUCGACAGGCUGCUCUGAGAUAUUUGCUGCACCUCACGGGGAAGCUGCAGCCCGGAUGUGGGAAUUCAGCUCCAAGUGGAUGCUCGAGAGCUCUCUGGACCAAUCUCUAAAAGGAAGAAGCACUUGGCAUUCUGAAUGCUGCACACCCGAUAUGGGAAGAAUGGAGGAGGAAAUGGUCUGCCCUUGCAGCGGUGGGGCUGUGCUAAUUACCCGAAUAGGAAGCUCAGCUGUGGUCAGAAAAACGGCUCAUCAAGUGUAGACGCCCUCGACCAGAGGCGUAAAAGAAGGAGUGAACGUGUUUUCCAUUUUGAUUCCCUGAGCAUUGACUGUCAUAUCUUUCAAUUCUACUUGAUGACGAGGUUAUUCAUUUCCUCUGGAACGAAGUUCCUUUUAACUUCCUUCCUUAACAAAUUUGGGUUUUAUAAUUAGAGAGGGAGUGGGCUAGGGCAGAGAGAGCUGGGGCCCUAGAGGGAGAAGACCACGGCAGGUGAAAUAGCUCUGGCUUGUUGUCGAACAGUGGGCAAGCCUAGUACUACUACUGCUACUACCGCUACUACCACGACGACUACUACUACUGCUACUACCACGACGACGACUACUACUACUACUACUACUACUACUAUGUCUACCUUGAAGAAUUAUCAAAUGUGAUAACACGUAAAACACUUUGCAAACCUUUAGUUUCCAUGUUAUA